CCUUGUGGCUCUCUGCUGGACUGUCUGCAGGAAGACCCUAUCUUUCUUGAACUGGGGAGCCUAAGAGUUGAGAAAAGAUAGAAGCAGUCAGAAAACAGCCUUCUGUUUCUAUUCCUGUGACGAAGAGCUUGGGCCCAGUUGCCACCUUGACAGAUGAGGCUACAAUUGUGGCUUGGAGUAACAAGGGACUGUCCAGUGAUAGGAUGUCAGUGGGAAAUGCCACUGUUCUAACACACUGCAAACACUGCCCCCUGAUGAUACAUCCUCCACCAACAGGGAAUUAAAUGGAUAAAGAAUAAAUAUGGAGCUGACCUUAAAGUUGUACAUUUAGGACAGAAAAGGUUGAACUGGCUUAAAGAAGAAAAAAAGAGGGAAAAGAGUAAGGGUGCCAUGGAUUGAGCUAAGCCAAGGCUGGCUGUACCUGAAGUUUGGUUUAUAUCCAUUUCCUGUGCUGACAAGGUCAUGCAGUAUCCAUCUUCUGCAAGCUAAGACA